rnacentral:lncRNA from 1 species
ACUAAAAUCUCUGAUGUGGUGAACUCCAGAACAAUUGAAUUUACCAAUGUUGUAACAAUCCUGGUAAGUUUCAGUUUCACUCUAUCUGGAUUUUCAGUAACCAACAUGUUAUGUGAAAAUGCAUAAAGAAUUUUGCAUAAGAGCUCAGAAAUUACUUCCUCCAAAAAGACAGAUGAGUUCACAAUAAAAGAUAAUUCUCUUUGUUUAGGAUCUAUUGCUUUCAAUUUAUAAGUUUGAUCAACUGCUGCCAAAAGGAGAGUUUUAUCUUCAGAUAAAAAUGAUUGAAUAUGAUGGUUAAAGAUUUCUUUUAUUAUAAAACUCGCUAUUUUUGAAACAGACCCUUUAUCAGGAAAAGCAGUGCUUGUGCAUUCUUCCAAAAGUAUUCUGAUAAGUUUCUCACAUACAACAUUGAGAAGAAAAACUGAUUUUGAGGAGAGCUGUAGGUUAUUGUACAUGAAUCACUCCUACUAAGAGAUCCUGAAAGAGGUCAUCAAAGCCACCAGAAACUAUUCCUGGACAGAGGAGGUUUUAUAGGUGUGGUUGGUCUCCUUACUGACGUGUCAACUACAAAUGCACAGGGUUCUGCCUGAAAUGUUUUAGUUGUUGCAGAUGUGUAGCUUCUAUAUGUAAAGUCUUCACUGCACGUGCUACAGAAACUUGAACUAUCUGAAGAGAGGAUGGAGUCAUCAGAUACUGGAUCCAGUCAAAAUAUUUGGAUGCUUUCAGAAACAUCUGCCUAGCUGAGAUGUGGGGAAGGAACAUAAAGCAUUUUCUCUCCCAGUCCCUGCUGAAAGGGAACAAGAAGACUAAGCAAUAAGUGAGAAAAGAAAUGAUGGAAUAGAUGUGAGGCUUCCACAGCAAACUCCUGUAAAACCUGCAGUUAAACCUGAGCAAGAGGAAUGUGACAUAUGUGUCUUUGCUCUUUAUUUGGAUCUGUGUGUAUGCUCUUGGAGCAGUGGCGAAGAAGCUCCAGGAUCCAAAAAUGCCUGUGAAACUCUGGAAAAAUUUCUCGUGGGUGAUACCUGCGCUGAAAUAAUUGAACCUUGGCCUGAAAUAUUUAUACCUCCUAGAGAAAGAAGAGAUAACUUUAAAUAUGAGAAGCUGAUAUUGCUGGGACAAGGGUUAAUAUUAAUUUACAGCAUUACUCCAACAUUCUCCCUGCUCAGCUGCCACAGUGACUAGAAUUGCCACAAUCAGGGAUUUAUUUGAGUCAAGGAAAUAUCUCCAAAAAUAACACGUCUUUUUUGAUGUUUACUGCCUACAAAUUUCCAGUGGUUCCCAUUGCCUUCAAAGACAAGCCUGAAAUCCUUAUUUAAUGUUUUAUGCCAGCUUAAUCUUCUGCUAUAACCACAGCCUACCGCUAGAAUUAACUUUUUGCAUUUGAGUAAUUAGGCAAUGAAAAAUCAUCUGGAUAGUGAAAUAAACAAAGCUGUGAUUUAGGAAGAUUGUUUCAUAGAAAAAUGUAUAGUGGGUUAAAAAGAGGAAGAUGAAAUUGGAGGAAGAUUACUGCAAUAGUGAAGAAUGGAGAAAACAAGGGUAGGAGCAAAGGGAAUGGAAAAAAGUGAAGAUCAAAAUAAAUUAAGGAAGUAGAAUAGGCAGAAAAUGUGAACUUUUAGAUACAAAAUAUAAAAGGAAGAGUCCAAGGCAACUUAGGUUUUGUGCCUGGGUGAAAUAAAAGGGUCAGGAAGAUGAUGAUGAAUUGAGUUUUGUAUUAAAUUUGAGGUGAUCCUUAGCAACUGGAGGAAGAUGUCUCAUGUUUUCUGUAUGCAUAUGUCAGAUAUGUAUGUGAGUAUUUUUAGUGACUUGCAUAAACAUAACAAGGCACACAGAUAUUGGGUAAUGAAUAUUUCAUUUAAAGACAAAUGGGAAACAAAAUGUAUCAUUUGUUGGAAAUUAAUGGCAGUGAAAUAUGGAAACAAUCUUGGGGAUAGUUCUUUGUAUUCCAAUCUCCUGAAGCCACUAUGCCAGCGUCUUUAUCUGUAACUACAAACAGCUACAGCAAGGACCCUAUCUUUUCCACACUUUGCAAAUUCCAAAAGGCACACUCAUCCAGCAAUCACUCAAAUAUAUGGGCUAAUUAUAAUAUCUAUAUUCAUAAAAAAUUUAUAUCAGCCUUAAUUUUUUAGAAUAAGCAUAUUUUUAUAAUCAGAUAAAACAACUUAAAAUAUAUAAUAAAACUAUAAUUGCAUGCCUAAUAACAGAAA